ACCUGGCUCAGGAUGAACGCUGGCGGCGUGCUUAACACAUGCAAGUCGAACGAAGCACUUAAGACAGAUUCUUCGGAUGAAGUUUUUUGUGACUGAGUGGCGGACGGGUGAGUAACGCGUGGGUAACCUGCCUCAUACAGGGGGAUAACAGUUAGAAAUGACUGCUAAUACCGCAUAAGCGCACAGGGUCGCAUGACCUGGUGUGAAAAACUCCGGUGGUAUGAGAUGGACCCGCGU
rnacentral:rRNA from 1 species